rnacentral:rRNA from 1 species
AUUGAACGCUGGCGGCAGGCCUAACACAUGCAAGUCGAACGAGUGGCGGACGGGUGAGUAAUGUCUGGGAAACUGCCUGAUGGAGGGGGAUAACUACUGGAAACGGUAGCUAAUACCGCAUACCAUCGGAUGUGCCCAGAUGGGGUUAGGCAAUAGGUGGGGGAACGGCUCACCUAGGCGACGAUCCCUAGCUGGUGUGGGGAGAUGACCAGCCACACUGGAACUGAGACACGGUCCGAACUCCUCCGGGCGGCAGCCGUGGGGCUUAUUGCACUCUGUGCGCAAGCCUGAUGCAGCCAUGCCGCGUGUAUGAAUACGACCUUCUGUUUGUAAAGUACUGUCAGCGGGGAGGCGUUACCCGCAGAAGAAGCACCGGCUAACUCCGUGCCAGCAGCCGCGGUAAUUC